ensembl:lncRNA novel transcript
CCACAGCUUCCAGUGCAAGUGUCCUUGUGCCCUGGUGCCUGAUAUCCAGCUCCGGCAGCCUAGAAAAUCAGUUAGGCUUUUCAGUCACAGCACCCUCUGUGACAAACGUGUGGAGCACCGCACGACUUCUUCAACCAGCUGGUUUUUCUGGCAUUCGAAUAAAAGUAAAAAUAGAAAACAAAGAGGGAGAAGAAAAGUGACAAGCUGAAACCUGCGAAGAGAAAGAGGACAAGAACCUGUAUGUACCCAGUGGUGUGGAUAAAUCGUUAUGUAUCUGCCUACGCAUUGUCAGAAAUACAGCAGCCUAAGUAGCCAUUCAAGGAAUUUAGAGUAAAGUACCAUGGUCAGAAUUCAAGAUAUAGCCACUACAGGAUCUGAAAUGCCAUCUGUUCCAACCGCACGACAUCCCCAUUCAGCAGGCUCACAAGGCUGGCAUAGACAGGAAGAGGGACCCCUCUGUUGUCCUCUACUCUCUUCUUCAACUGAGCAAUGAGCAGAAGAUUUAAGUUUGGGAUUUUUUCACUAUUUUUCCCAAACGCAUGAACAGGUUCUUCUCAAACUGCAAGAGUCGAUUCAAAAUCCAGACAGCUUUCACCACCCAAGGAUUCAGGGAAGUGUUUAUUUCUUUGUCUCAGAAUCUCUUUAAACAUGGUAAGGACAAAGUCAUAAGAAGUGUGCAUGGUAUAGAAUCAAAGUACCUUUGGCAGUGAUAUAGGUCUGUUCUGAAAUACAGACUCCUGUGCCCAUGGCCACUCUGGGAACUCACGUCGUGUGUUCAGGCUAAGGACAUAUUAAUAUACACUGCUUUUCUAACAGCCAACAAUGCAGCUGGGAGAAAAACAAAUCACUCAUUACUGCAAAAAAUGUUAUUGCCAAAUGAAGCAUUUCAAGGUUUUACUCUUAAAAUGUCCUUUUAAAGCAGAAUCUUAGAAAGGACUGCUCAGUUCUACUCCUAGGGAGGGAGACUGAGGCAUGGGGAGGUUAAGUGAGUUGCCCAAGGUCACCCAGGAAGUCAGUGAAUUAACCAGAAAUAGCACCCGGGACUCCUGCCUCCUUCACCACAGCUACCACCACUGGACCACGUUUCCUGAUGGCAACAAAGCAUCAGACCACAGCGGUUUGCCAGUAACAUCAAAUAGCAUUUUGCCAGUGUAAUUUACCUCUUUCGGAAUUAAAUAAUAAUACCAUUUUACCUUAAUCUAUCACCUUUUGUCCCAGAGGAGCCUAAAGUGCUAAGUGCUUUAGUUAUGAGUUUUAGAAGCUUACAUAUAAAUCACUUCACACACCAUUAAAAUGCAGCUGUCCUUGGAGUCAAUGUUGCAGCUGUUAAACAUAAGUAUCCCAACUGUUAAACAUUUAUUGAGCACCAACAAUGUGCUAAAUGUUAGAGAGGAGGCAGAAUUUGAAUUUCAGGAGUUUUGGGGGACUAAGAAAUACAGGAAAACUACCUAAAAUGUUGAUGAUGUAUAAAUAGACAUCCGACUAUUACUAAAACACACUUCUGUUGCUAGUGAAUAUAAUCAUGGGGUCUGAAAAAUCGCCUUUGGUUAUAGCAAGGACCCUUAGAUAAAUGCUUUAAAAAUGUGAAACAUAUAGUUCAGACCACAGGCAAAGCUGUUCCAGAUUCAUUCCAAGGCAUGUCACUAAUCUUUCCUGAUUCCUUAUUUUCAUUUCUCCUUCCUUGUGUGUUCAGGCACCUACAAUGACAAAUUGUAAAUAGCCACGUCCAAUAAGUUUAUGCGUAACCUUACCUGACUUUUCCAUGGAACUCCAUUAUAUAACUAGAAGCAUUUCUCCACAAGCGGAAAAAAAAUGGAACCAGAAGAGAAACAAAGCACAUUUGAGCAUACAAUAAAUAAUGAUAUGAUGAAAAGUCAAAGGGAAAUAAAGGACAUUUGAAAGGAAUAAAAAA